rnacentral:rRNA from 1 species
UACGAAGGGGGGCUAGCGUUGCUCGGAAUCACUGGGCGUAAAGGGUGCGUAGGCGGGUCUUUAAGUCAGGGGUGAAAUCCUGGAGCUCAACUCCAGAACUGCCUUUGAUACUGAGGAUCUUGAGUUCGGGAGAGGUGAGUGGAACUGCGAGUGUAGAGGUGAAAUUCGUAGAUAUUCGCAAGAACACCAGUGGCGAAGGCGGCUCACUGGCCCGAUACUGACGCUGAGGCACGA